GUGAGCGGCCAGCCAUAAAUAAGGUCUCACUCGCUUUAUUUGCUUGUUUGUUUAUUUCCCGCCUUGUUCCCUGACAGGGAUUCCAGGCGGCUUAAUUGCGGGAGAAGUGGCGCCAAGGAGUGACUUUUUGAAUUCCCGCGGCUUCUGAGUACAGUAGUACCGGUAGUAACCUGGUGGUGAUGGUGAUGACCUGGCAUCCCCAAACUGCGACCCUCCAGAUGUUUUGGCCUACAACUCCCAUGAUCCCUAGCUAACAGGACCAGUGGUCGGGGGAGAUGGGAAUUGUAGUCAAAAACAUCUGGAGGGCCAAAGUUUGGGGGUGCCUGGUGAUGACAGUGGGUUAGAUCAGGCAUCCCCAAACUCGGCCUCCCAGAUGUUUUGGGACUACAAUUCCCAUCAUCCCUGACCACUGGUCCUGUUACCUAGGGAUGAUGGGAGUUGUAGUCCCAAAACAUCUGGAAGGCCAAAUUUGGGGGUGCCUGGGUUAGAUCUAACAGUUCACUGUUUCCCACCAAACUUAGAACAAUAACAUGACGCUUUGGAGAGCAUAAUAUUUACUGCUGUAAAGAUCUUCACAAGUGGAGAUAUAUAGGGGGCAGGCGUUAAUAAUACUGUUCUAUCUUUGAAUUGUUUUCUGCAGCCAAAAAAACAUCACAAUGAAGGGGGGUCAUGCACCCAUUGAUACCCCCAGGGGUAUGUAUAUCACACUUUGGGAAAUCCUGUUCCUGUGUUAGUUGAACUUCAAGUCCCACUGAAAUAGAUGGGACAUGUUAGUCACAACUAAGUCUCAUGUACUUUAGUGGGGUUCCAAGUUCAGCUAAUUUAGCCUGGAUUUUAGUACAUAAUUAUGAGGUUCUGUCACACUUUUGCUAGCUAACAGUGGGGUGAAAUGCAAGGGGUGGUGCCCCCCCCCAGUAAAGUAAGGUAAAGCUGCUGUAUGGUAGACUAUUCGUGUUGUUGGCAUUUGUCUAUCUCAGGAUACAAUGGAAGAGUGUGUCUUUGGGGGUAAAGUCAAACUUUUGGAGAGUUGCAGCACCUGCUGUGGCUGUAGAGACUGAUAUGGAACAGGCAUGUUUUGUUGCAGAUUAGGCUGCCUCAUGCUACGAACAUGAGUUUGACCAAACUACGGGAGGCAGUGCAAGACAGGAGUGCCUGGCGUGCUAUGGUCCAUGGGGUCACGAAGAGUCGGACACGACUAAACGACUAAACAACAACAACAGGCUGUCUGGUUUUGCUGCUCCAAGUGCACUGUGGUGUUUCUUUUCUCUGUGCUCCUCCUAGUGGAUAUUCCUCCAUUGCUCACUGGUGUGGAUGCACCUGACUGUCCAUCUCCAGACACCGUGAUUGUCUGCAAAGGAUUCCCAUAUGAUGGGGUUAAUGUUGCCAGCCUUCAUGUCACGUUUGCAGGCAUCUGUAAUUUAGAGUUGGUCUGCCAACAGGCCUGUUGCCUGAAGGCAGCUCUCCAUAGAACACAUCCUUGGGGAUUCUCCCAUCUUCCAUUCUGUGUACAUGAGCAAGCCAGCAUAGAUGCCACAGAGACAGAAGUGCAAACAUGUUGGGAAUGUGAGCUUGGGAGAAAACAUCUUUGUUUGAGACUCUGCCCUGCUAUGUGGUGCCCAAAACCUUCCUGAUGCAGCACAUAUGGAAGGCAUUGAGGCGUCGCUCCUGGUGGGUGGCUAACCAUGACUCACUUCCAUAACAGAGGAUGUUGGUCUUUGUAAGGCUGAUGGUGAGGUCGAACUCCAUGUAGGCUUGGGGUUGAUGAGUAGGCUUGGGGUUGGUGAUUCUCUGUAGAGUUUCCUUGGAGUGCGCUGUCAAGGUUGCGUUAUCUACAAACCACAUCUUGUGGAUAAGAACCCGUUGCAUUUUUUGUCUUGGCAUGGAGAUGUGCCAGGUUGAACAGACCCCUGCCACUUCUUGAAUGGAAAUACACACCAUUUUCAGUCAAGAUGAAGGCAUAUGAGAGCAACAGAAAGAAGGCUAUGCCAAAGAGAGUUGGGGUGUCUACACCUUGGGACAACAUUUCAUACAUUUGAUGAAAUUGAAUGUAGCCCAAGAAAUAAAUUCGUUAGUCUUUAAGGUGCCUCAAGACUCUUUGUUGUACAUGAUGAUUAGUUUCAGGAAAACCAAAAUUAUAGCAUGUUGUGUAAAGAAGGCCUUUUUUGCAUGCUUGCUUUGUCAUCUGCUAUUUUACUUCCAUAUUUCAUUGAUGGCCUUAACAGUGACAUGUAUUUUUAUUUUAUUCCCUAGGGAUCGAAAACUUUACAAACUAGGCUUGAAGGGAUUUUAUGUCAAAGAUGAAGGUGACAGUAUAGGGGAAGAUCAAGUAACCACCGAGGAUGAAGAAAAAGACAAGAAACAUAAUUCCUUUGGGACUGCUGAUUUAUCUAACAGUCAUGCUUCUGGAGUGGAAGACAUUGAACUCGAUUCAGAGACUGAACUCAUGAAAUGCAUGGGCUUACCUAUUCAAUUUGGCAAUGCAGCAGCCCAUAAGACAUUGGCACCUGAGAAUAUUAGUAAGAAAAGUAAGAAAGUGAAGAAGAAGAUGAUGAUGAAGAAAAAGAAGAUGCGGCAAAGAGAGAUUUUCACAGUAAUGCAGGAAUCAUUGAAAGAAGAUCAUGAUGAAGAUGACCUCUUUCUUUCCGAUGAUCACUCUUCAAUUAAAAAGGGAUCUGAGAAUGACAAGAGCUGUGAAAAUGGAGACCUUUUACUUGAUGGGUUUCAUAUGAAAGAAAAAUGGGAAAAGUAUUGGAGUGAGUAUGGAGAAGGACUUCUGUGGCAAAGUUGGCAAGAGAAAAAUUGUGAACUUGUGUCUAUUACUGAGCCUUGGAAUAAUCCUGAAGUAAAGGAAAAGUGGGAGCAGCACUAUAAUGAACUAUACUGGUAUUACUGGCAACAGUUUCACUACUGGGCAAGUCAAGGUUGGACUGUUGACCCCACACACAAUAUUGACCUGGAAAAUAGUGCAGGGGAGCUGGAAACCAAGCAGCCAGCAGAAAUGCAGAACAUUGGUGUAGACACUGUUUUCGUAGGAGUGCUAAAUCCUUCUCCAAGUGAUAAUCACUGUAAUAGUGACAUUCUUCCUGAAAUUAGUAAAAUAAAUCUAAACUCUGAAGAAACAGAACGGAUCAAAUUGGAAAAUGCAGAUGAUUAUAAUGGUGAGAGUGGACUGAGCAUAACAAGCAUUGAAAGGUGUUGUCCUUGUGAUACUGCUCAGACUGUGAAAUGUGAUGAGGGAACAAGAGAAAGUAAUGCGUCUUCUGAAAAUGGAUAUUCAGACAAGCCAGUUUCACAGGGGUCAUCUAGAUCUUGUUCAGAUGCCACAGGAGGUAGGGGAUCACACAGUAACAGUGAUGGUGAUGAUGGUGAUGAUGAUGAGCCACCUGAACGCAAACAAGUCAGAUUAAAGAGGAGCCAUGAAUUGGAUCCUGAAGAACAUUCCCAGGCUGAUCCAGAAAAGAUUUGCUGUCUUUUGGGGCUCAAACAUGGCAAAGGACAAAAAUACAGAGACAUUCCUGACUUCAGUGAAAGAAGAGUGAGUCAUCUCAAUAAAAAUAUGAAGUUUAAAUCAAAAUUAUUGGACAUGCACAGAACAGUCAAGACCAAAAGGAAACAUAUAUUUUUUACAGAAGAACCUGAGACAGGGGCAAUUAAAAAGAGCAGUACUUUGAUUAAGGUAGAAAGCUUCUUGAAACAAGUGAAUGAGGCUGCGGAAGAGAUGUCUCAAGACAGAGUUCACCCUCCUUCUUCCAGUAGUGAUUCAGAGGAACAGGAAAACGUUGCUGGCUCACAAAAUAAUUUGGAUUCUCCCCAAAGUGACCUGCCGUUCUCCAGUUCAGAUUCUGGAAAGCGUGGAGGAAACAGCACUGAGGAAAGAGGCGAAGAAAAUCUGGUAGUAGCAACAAGUGACUGGAAGUUCCAGGAGCCCAAGGAAGAGGCAGGAAGAGAAGAUGCACAUCCUUCAGGAAGAGAGUUAGUUCCUAUGGAUAUUCCAAACUACCUGCAGGUGGAAACAGAAGGUGAUGUAAAAACUACGAACAAGAGGAAAAUCAAGAUAAUACUGAAGAAGACAAACAGGUGUGGGCAGCCUCUGCCCCCUGAAAUAGUUGCUGAUCCCGAGUUGGCUAAAUACUGGGCACAGCGCUAUAGACUCUUCUCUCGAUUUGAUGAAGGGAUUCAGUUAGACAGAGAGGGAUGGUUUUCUGUUACGCCUGAGAAGAUUGCAGAGCAUAUUGCGGAUCGUGUAAGUCAGUCCUUCAACUCUGACUUAAUAGCAGAUGCAUUCUGUGGCGUGGGAGGAAACGCUAUUCAGUUUGCCUUGGCAGGGAAGAAAGUAAUCGCAAUCGAUAUUGACCCUGUGAAGAUCAGUCUUGCUCUCAACAACGCAGAAGUCUAUGGAGUAGCAGACAAAAUAGAGUUCAUAUGUGGAGACUUCAUGAAGCUAGCAUCCAGUUUAAAAGCAGAUGUUGUGUUUCUGAGCCCUCCGUGGGGUGGGCCUGAAUAUGCUGCUGCAGAAAUCUUUGAUGUUCAGACUAUGAUUUCUCCCGAUGGAUUUGAAAUUUUCAAGCUGUCGCAAAAGAUUACCAGCAAGAUUGUGUACUUUCUUCCUCGUAAUGCUAACAUAGAUCAGGUAAGUUUUAAUUUGCAGGUUCAGGGGUAGUGCAGUACAGUUGACUUAGGGUGGAAUUCAAUGUUGCGCAUUUGCAGCUUGCCAAAAGGAAUGACACCCCCCCACACACACACACACUCUGUUCUGGGGACUCUCCCCAUACUCACUCAAGCCAUUUGGGGGGGGCAGAGGUGGGGAAAGCCCUGUUGCAAGUGAAAGUCCUUAUGCAAGGCUUCUGCUGACUGAAUUCUGCUCCUGAGCUGCGAACAGACAUUUCACCUCUGCCCAAUGGGCUUAAGUCAAAUCUCUGUCUUUCACCUUCCAUUUCUUCCCACCUCCAUCUAUAAUAUGGCGAUAACACUGGCCUACCUUACACAUUUGUUGUAAGGAGUACUGAGAGCCUAUGUAGAAUGUGUAAAGAUUGAAUAUUAUUGUUAUCAAAUUUUCUCCCUGUAUAACAAGGAUGGGGAAUCAGGUGGCCUCUACCUCUCCAAUCAUUCCUGACCUCUUGCCCAUUGCAGAGUGGAGCUGGCGGGAGUUGGAGUCCAACACCUGGAGGGCUAUGGGUUCUAGAAUACUAAGCUUCUUCUGUAAAUAUGUAUUUUUGUUGGAAAAAAGUAGGCUCUUUGAUAUUCAAUAACCUUAGAAGUUUGGGUGGAAAGGACCAAAGGGGGAAACAUGAUAGAGGUUUCUAGCACAGACAGUAUGGAUAGUGUUAUCAUUCUGUGCUAGAAACCGAGGUCACACUGUGAGAUUGAAUGGCGGAGCAGACAGAGAGGAAAACAUAAUUUACCGGUAUAUCAGUGAGUACACGAAAAGUUAGCAAGGACCGCCAGCUUAGAUAACAUUUUAAAAGGAUUAGGCCAAUCCAUAGGGGCUAGGUCUAUUAAUGACUAUAUAAAUGGAAUCUCUUUGUUCUGAGGCAAUGUAACCCUAAAUCAGGCAUCCCCAAACUGCAGCCCUCCAGAUGUUUUGGCCUACAACUCCCAUGAUCCCUAGCUAACAGGACCUGUGGUCAGGGAAGAUGGGAAUUGCAGUCCAAAACAUCUGGAGGGCCGAAGUUUGGGGAUGCCUGCCCUAAAUACUAGUUGAUGCGGAGCAAAGAACUUAGAGAGCUUUUGCCUUUGUGUUCUUAUGUGAAGGUUUUAUAUUGAUACCUGGUUUGGCGCACUUAGGUGGUGGACCAGGUGUAAUUUUUUGGCAAAGGCCAUAACUAAAUGUUUUGCAGUACUAGGCUGAUGCAGCUGCAACUUUUCCAAUACUAGUAGUUACUUAAAGGUAAAGGUACCCCUGACCGUUAGGUCCAGUCGCGGACGACUCUGGGGUUGCGGCGCUCAUCUUGCUCUAUAGGCCAAUGGAGCCAGCGUUUGUCCGCAGACAGCUUCCGGGUCAUGUGGCCAGCAUGACAAAGCUGCUUCUGGCGAAACCAGAGCAGCGCACGGAAACACCAUUUACCUUCCCGCCGGAGCGGUACCUAUUUAUCUACUUGCACUUUGACGUGCUUUCGAACUGCUAGAUAGGCAGGAGCUGGGACCGAACAACAGGAGCUCACCCCGUCGCAGGGAUUUGAACCUCCGACCUUCUGAUCAGCAAGCCCUAGGCUCUGUGAUUCACUUUCUCACUUUGCACUCACUCUCCUCUUUUUACUUAACGAUUUUUGACAUCUAAGCAUUCUAAUCAUGGUUAAGGAUUUUCCCAAGCCCUGGUGGUUUAGCAUUAAAACCUUGUUUUAGGAAUGUCCUCAAGCAUGGCUAGCAAUGAAAGGCUUGCAGGCUGCACAUCAGAGAUCCUGAACUAUACCUGUUACACUACCUUGUACUGGGGUCUGACAUCACACUUCAAAGGUUUGAGCACCAUUACUUUGCAUUUUCAGUUUUCUUUCAAUAUUUACAGUGCUGUAGAUAUAGCAAUAUACAAACCCCCACAAAGUUUAAUAUAAACAGUUAAUAAUCAAAUCCAGCCUUAAAAUGUGGAAGAUAUAGACACUGCCUGAAGGGGCAAAGCUGUUCAAACUUGAAUUAUUGUCAGUUUCUUUGUACUUCCUCUAGAGGGAGCAGUCAUACCAAAAAGAUACAGAUAGUGCAAGUAAAUUAUGCGUGCUGUGCUUUUAAACUAAGCAAAGAAUGAACUGUUUGGUAUAGGGGUGCUGCUGGCUUUCUUUAUACACUUUUCAGGACAGAGUUUUCAGGUUGUGGGAUACUUGCUUGGCAUGAAAGUAUUUUUGUUUAAAAAGCUCAGAACCACAAAAGCAAAGUGAAGGUAAACCAGGUCAACAGUUGUUGUUUUUGUGGUGUUUGUUAUUAGACAUUAUUAUGUUUGCUCAUGAUGGAGACUUAAUAGCAACUUGCAGUAAUAAAGUGCUACUUCAAAGGCAAUUUAUAUGGAUGUAGACACCUACCCUGGAAUAGGACAGACUUAUUAAAAGUUCAUUGUAUGUAUGUUUGCACAUACACAUCCAGACCAUAAUAAUAAUAAUAAUAAUAAUAAUAAUAAUAAUAAUAAUAAUAAUAAUAAUUUAUUUAUACCCCGCCCAUCUGGCUGGGUUUCCCCAGCCACUCUGGGCGGCUUCCAACAGAAAAAUAAAACACAAUAAUCUAUUAAACAUUAAAAGCCUCCCUGAACAGGGUUGCCUUCAGGUGUCUUCUAAAAGUCUGGUAGUUGUUUUCCUCUUUGACAUCUGUUGGGAGGGCGUUCCACAGGGCAGGCGCCACCACCGAGAAGGCCCUCUGCCUAGUUCCCUGCAACUUGGCAUCUCGCAACAAGGGAAUCACCACAAGGCCCUCGGUGCUGGACCUCAGUGUCCGGGCAGAAUGAUGGAGGUGGAGACGCUCCUUCAGGUGUGCACUGUCAUUUCUGGAACUGAUCUUUCUAGAAACUGAAUGUUUGGGCUUACAAUCUAGGCCAUUGUCUGUUCUUCAGUCACAUUUCUAGGUUUGUUGCAAUAACAAAGUAUGUAAACAGAUACUUAUUCCCUCAGGAUCUUGAGCCUUUUCCCAAGUUUACAUAAAAGUCUGCUGAGAUACUGCAGAUUCCAAAAGGUUCCAAAAAUGUCAAAUCUUACUAAUGUUAACAGAGAUAAAAACUGGUAGCGCAUGAAAAAGCAUAACUUUAAAAUGUCAGUGAUAGCUUGUACAAUCACAUAGGAAAAUGGUCCCAAAUGAGCAGGUGUGUCAAGUUAGCAUGAUGUAAUCACAGGUAAAUGUGCAUAGAAUUCCAUCUUUGUACUGAGGUACCUGUCAAGUUUGGGAUGCUCAGAUAUGUUUUUCCUAAGUAAUCUUUGCUGCACAAACUAGACAGAUCUCAUCACUGAUGGCAUUUGCACAAGCAUAAUGGAUAUCCCUUUCAAAUAUAAACACAGCUUCCACAUCCAAUUCUAUCCUAGGAAGCAGGAAUAUUUAUGUGUGUGUUUUUCCUUUUUCAGAUAUGCUAACUCAAAUUCAAACCAUUGGAGAUGAUAAUGAACAAGUUUGACUAGGUUCAGUAGUCUAUAGGCAGGCACUCUGGAACUGUACAUCUCCAUGUCCUGCAGAUAGAGAACAUGUACACUGAGAACAGAAAGAGUAAUGUGAUGUCUGUGAAAUUUAUUCCAUUAGGCGCAGCCCAGGCCAUGCAGCAAAGAUGGGCAUUUCACAUACAGAUGCUCAAAUUUGUGAGAAGGUCCCAUUGAGCUUUAUAGGACUCAAAUUGUCCAUUUGAGGUUUUGAGAUGAGGGUGUCCUCCAGACCAUUUUGAAAAUUUCCAUGUAGCAACUUUCCAUAAGCAGCUGGUAACGAAGCGGCAUCCAUUUGAAUGACGCUCCCUCAUUCUUUUAAUUGAUGAGGAGAACAGAAAUUCAUUUUCUCUAAGAAUGUUUAUUUUUAUUUUGGGGGGUUGCAUCUCUUAAAUAUAAUCCAAUCUGUUUCUCCCUAAAAGCCUGCUGUGCUGCCUACAUGCACAUGUGUUUUAACAAAACAAGUGUGCAUAGGACAGGAACUGAGUAAAUGCAGUCUCCAGAAGCAGUUAGAUUGUAUUGAGCGUCUUGUGUAAUCCAGUUUUUCCCCUUGUUAACUCUCAGGGUUCAAUGAACUUUAGAGAAAUCCACUUGCAGUAAUAUGGCCAGUCCACACAAGUAGAUCAUGACUCCAGUCAUUUGUACAUAAGCAAAAAUGGAAACUGCUGAGAUAUUUUGGGGAGUCAAGAUAAGUUAGUAACUCCUUAAUGAAUCACAGCACCACAGACAAGAUUCUCCCCUACCUAGCAAGGAGCUCAGGAACUAGCACUGGGAAAUGAGUUUUAGUAAACGUAGGUUUGUCACUUGGGGGGGGGGUUAUAUUCAAUCAAUUAAAUAUGCUUCCUUCCAGUUUACUAUUUUACUACUUAAGUGCUUAUGCUGGCAUGUCAUGAAUUGAUAUUAUAUCCAAAUACAGCCAUGGGAGGAUGCAUUAGCCACAUUCACAUGCCACAUGGUUUGCAAUGCACAAAUGAAUCACAGCUGCUUUCAGUCUCCCUCUGAGUGUUGGGAGAAAACAAACCAUCAUUCUGGUUUCAUUUGUGUUUCGUUUGAACCAGGGUUUGUAGGUUUGUUUCACUCCCAAAUGAUCUGGCUACAGAUUGUGGUUUGUUAGGGCUGAGACAAACCACAGUCCCUGAUUUGGAUGUAGCACUAGGUGAAGAAUGUGAUUUGCUUUCACAUAACCAUAACAGGGAACAGGGCAUUAGACAUGAUUUAUGUAUGCAUGGUAAGCUAUGGUUUGUGCUUCACAGUGGCAUGUGAAUGUGGGGUGGAAUUGGCAUUAAUACAGGUGCCACAUAAUAGCCGGUUUAAAGAUGCCAGUUUAAAGGACUUGUCACCCUCUUUUUGCUAUUAAAGAGGGCCAUAGGUCAGUGGUAAAGCAUCUGCUUUGCAUUCAGAAGCUCCCAGGCCCCAUCCACAGCAGCUCCAGGUAGGGCUGGGAGAGAACAGUCUCUGAAACCCUGAAGAGCCGCUGCCAGUCAGUGUAGACAAUGCUGAGCUAGAUGGAUCUAUAGUCUGACACAGUAUAAGACUGAGCUUCCUGUAUUCCUAAGUGUCAGCAGUCUGGUUCCAUUCUAGUUUGAAUGGAACAUAUCCUCUUUGUACAGGCAUUGCUUGCCCCAAAAUGUCCCCCACUUUUUAACAAAAAGAAACCUGUUUCCCACACACACCAUGGCCUUAUCAAUAAAUAAAGCUCCUUCGCUAUGCCUUCUAGCUGUCCCUGUGUAUGGAACAGGUAGCAUUUAUUUCAGCUUCUUGUGGGCUUGAUUAUUUCCCCAGCAGAGGCUCAUAGUUGCCUAUCAAGGAUCCUGUGGUAGUGGUUUUCUGAAAGAGGUUGGACUAGAUGAGCCUUCCUGCUAACAACAACAACAACAACAACAACAACUUGUUAUUUAUAUGUCACCCAUCUGACUGGGUUCCCCCAGCCACUCUGGACAGCUUCCAGCAAAUUCAAACAUCAAACACAGUAGCUUCCUUAGCUGGGCCAGGAGGAAAAGUUGAAAUAGAACAAAACUUUCUGAACAACAAAUUGAAAACCAUAACUGCAUACUUUGGUGAUCUAAUAAAAAAACAUGCAUCCUG